GACAGAGGGGGCAAGCGUUGCUCGGAAUUACUGGGCGUAAAGGGCGCGUAGGCGGAAUGGCAAGUCGGUCGUGAAAUCCUUCGGCUCAACCGAAGAACGUCGAUCGAAACUGCCGUUCUUGAGGAUUGCAGAGGAGACUGGAAUUCCCGGUGUAGCGGUGAAAUGUGUAGAGAUCGGGAGGAACACCGGUGACGAAGGCGGGUCUCUGGGCAAUUCCUGACGCUGAGGCGCGAAAGCGUGGGGAGCAAACGGG
rnacentral:rRNA from 1 species